rnacentral:rRNA from 14 species
AAAUAGUAGUGGCGGUGAAGAUGCCGCCUACCCGCAGCAAGACGGAAAGACCCCGUGAACCUUUACUGCAGGCUCAUAUUGGUCAUGAGCACAUGAUGCGCAGGAUAAGUGGGAGGCUUUGAAGCUGAUGUUCAGGCAUUGGUGGAGCCGUUGUUGAGAUACCACUCUUCUUGAGUUUGUGGCCUAACCCUGAUUCCCGUGAAGCCGGGCAGGGGACAGUGUGUGUCGGGUAGUUUGACUGGGGCGGUCUCCUCCUAAAGAGUAACGGAGGAGCGCAAAGGUUGG